rnacentral:tRNA from 1 species
UUUAAUAUGGCAGAUAAGUGCAAUGAAUUUAAACUUCAUAUAUAAAAAUUUUACUUUUUUAUUAAAA